AUGCUGUCUGACCCGCUGAGCCUCAGUCCAGAUGAAGGGUCUUGACCCAAAACGUUGACUAUCCAUGUCCCUUCACAGAUGCUGCCUGAUAUCAUGGCACGUUUUCUCUCAUUACUUAACUGGGAGAUGAUGGAAAGUGAAGGCAGCAAAAGCCUAACGGAGGAAGGCUUCACUGUAGCAGCGAGAUUCUAUUGUCAGGUCUCUGAACACCAAGUCUGUUCUUCCUGGACAUGAGAGGCAAAUGAAUUCUCAUUGAGCAAGACAGCAACAACUUCAUGCAAGUUGCAAGGUUAGCAGCAGCUCUCUAUCAUCAUGGAAAAUUGACACCCACAAAGAUGUUGGAAGAGAUGAGGAACAGUUUGUUCAAGGGCCGUCCCAUUCACGGUGCUGAAAUGGAAGGGAAGAUGUGAUAAAUGACUGGGCUGGAAUGUGAUGCAUGGCAGAUCUCUGGUACUGAACCACAAGGUGACACAGCUGGAUCUUGGCAAUAGGCAUCCCUCAGUCUGGGUCUAAAAUGCGCACUGUCCUUAAUUAUCGUGGAUGCUGGAAUGUGCUAUCAUCACAGGAAGAAGGAUUAGGAGGUAUGCCAGGAAGAGACAGCAUUUUUCUGAAUCCACCAUAAUUUAACUUGUCUUUGAAAGCUCCUUGGGGUACUUUGAUCUCUCAGCAUUGCAGAAAUUAGUUUGUCUUUCUUCUAAGUCCCAUGCAUGUUAGAUGUGUUGCUCUUA